CUGUCGUUUUCUUGUCAACUAACCAUAAUGAGAUAUUUUCUUCAAGCUUGAAACCGAAGAAUCAUAAUGUAUCUCUUACCUAAGCCUCAGUUAGGCCCGACCUAUCGUCCAUCAUCUUAUAAAUUAAUUUAUUUUGUCUGAAACAUCGAAACAAUUUUAAAGCAGAAAUUAAAGUGAAAAAUGGAAAUGAUUCCCAUAUUGAUGAAAACUUGAAAAGUCGGAAUAAUUCGUUGGUCCCUCCAUUAACUAACGUGAAUUAUUGCAAAUGGGACCGUACUAAAAUUUGGGUGUGGUUUCGAUAUAUAGUACCAAAAAAGGUUAAAAAGUAAAACUUAAUUAAAAGAAAUAAAUUGUGUUUGUGUGUGUCGUCGGUGUCGAAGGAUGUUUGGGAACCAAGUGGGGUUAAUUUCAAAGAUUUACAAAAAUGGAAAGUCUUUGGACCGCAAAACGUAUGGACAUCGUACCUAAGUUCCUGACUCCUUACUAUAUUUGUACAUUAACGUGUUCCCCUUUGUCCCUUUUUUGUCAUCUCCU